CAUUAAAGUAUAUACGACUACUGUGUAAUUCCCGGAAUUGGCCGGGAAGUAUCCACCUCCGGACCUUAAUCCGGAUUCACCACGGCAGGCAAGAGUUGUGCG
rnacentral:ncRNA from 27 species